rnacentral:rRNA from 1 species
UGGGGAAUUGUUCGCAAUGGGCGCAAGCCUGACGACGCAACGCCGCGUGGAGGAUGAAGGUCUUCGGAUUGUAAACUCCUGUUGAUCGGGACGAAAAGCUCCAACCCAAUACGUUGGAGACUGACGGUACCGGUUGAGGAAGCCACGGCUAACUACGUGCCAGCAGCCGCGGUAAUACGUAGGUGGCAAGCGUUGUCCGGAUUUAUUGGGUUUAAAGGGUGCGUAGGCGGCCCUGUAAGUCAGUGCUGAAAUAUCCCGGCUUAACCGGGAGGGUGGCAUUGAUACUGCAGGGCUUGAGUACAGAUGAGGUAGGCGGAAUUGACGGUGUAGCGGUGAAAUGCAUAGAUAUCGUCAAGAACACCGAUAGCGAAGGCAGCUUACUAAGCUGUAACUGACGCUGAGGCACGAAAGUGUGGGGAUCAAA